UACGUAGGGUGCGAGCGUUAAUCGGAAUUACUGGGCGUAAAGUGUGCGCAGGCGGCGCCGCAAGUCGAGUGUGAAAGCCCCGGGCUUAACUUGGGAAUUGCGCUCGAGACUAUGGUGCUGGAGUGUGGCAGAGGAAGGUGGAAUUCCACGUGUAGCGGUGAAAUGCGUAGAGAUGUGGAGGAACACCGAUGGCGAAGGCAGUGUUCUGGGCCAGUACUGACGCUGAGGAGCGAAAGCGUGGGGAGCAAACAGG
rnacentral:rRNA from 1 species